GUGCCCACUGCUACGUUUACUUAUCUAUAAAAUUACAUACUUUGUGUUCAAUUCAACAUCAACGCGGAUCUUAACAGCGGGUUUAACAACACGCAUCAUCUGCUACUUUCUUUGAUAUUUUGGCGCAAAAAGAAACAAAAAUGCCAAAACUCAUACAAUCUGUUCUAUUAUUUUGUCUUAUUGUAUUUGCCCUCGGAAAUAGUAAUAAUAAUGCAGGGUGCAACUUCGUAUCAGAACAAUCAGGAAAUUUAGAGCCAAGUCAAGAGCAAGAACAAGAAAGAGGAGGAGGAAGUAAAAGAAAUCCACAACUGUCAAGCAAGCAUAUCGUUGGAAUUCGGAGGCCGCCCCCCGGGUAGAACACCAAGGCUACAAGUUACAAAAUACAUUACAGAUUGUGAAUUGUGUUGAUAGAUGAAUAAAUAGAAAAUAUAGAUAAAUACAGUACUGGAACAAAUCA